AACAUUGUUAGAGACAACAGGCUAGGAAGUGUAGAGGUAACAACAUUGUUAGAGACAACAGGCUAUGUAGUGUAAAGGUAACAACAUUGUUAGAGACAACAGGCUAGGAAGUGUAAAGGUAACAACAUUGUUAGAGACAACAGGCUAGGAAGUGUAAAGGUAACAACAUUGUUAGAGACAACAGGCUAUGUAGUGUAAAGGUAACAACAUUGUUAGAGACAACAGGCUAUGUACUGUAAAGGUAACAACAUUGUUAGAGACAACAGGCUAUGUAGUGUAAAGGUAACAACAUUGUUAGAGACAACAGGCUAGGAAGUGUAAAGGUAACAACAUUGUUAGAGACAACAGGCUAUGUAGUGUAGAGGUAACAACAUUGUUAGAGACAACAGGCUAUGUAGUGUAAAGGUAACAACAUUGUUAGAGACAACAGGCUAUGUAGUGUAGAGGUAACAACAUUGUUAGAGACAACAGGCUAUGUAGUGUAAAGGUAACAACAUUGUUAGAGACAACAGGCUAAGUAGUGUACAGG
rnacentral:sRNA from 1 species